rnacentral:rRNA from 1 species
AGAGUUUGAUCCUGGCUCAGGACGAACGCUGGCGGCGUGCUUAACACAUGCAAGUCGAGCGAUGAAGCUUCCUUCGGGAAGUGGAUUAGCGGCGGACGGGUGAGUAACACGUGGGUAACCUGCCUCAAAGUGGGGGAUAGCCUUCCGAAAGGAAGAUUAAUACCGCAUAAUAUAAGAGAAUCGCAUGAUUUUUUUAUCAAAGAUUUAUUGCUUUGAGAUGGACCCGCGGCGCAUUAGCUAGUUGGUAAGGUAACGGCUUACCAAGGCAACGAUGCGUAGCCGACCUGAGAGGGUGAUCGGCCACAUUGGAACUGAGACACGGUCCAGACUCCUACGGGAGGCAGCAGUGGGGAAUAUUGCGCAAUGGGGGAAACCCUGACGCAGCAACGCCGCGUGGGUGAUGAAGGUCUUCGGAUUGUAAAGCCCUGUUUUCUAGGACGAUAAUGACGGUACUAGAGGAGGAAGCCACGGCUAACUACGUGCCAGCAGCCGCGGUAAUACGUAGGUGGCGAGCGUUGUCCGGAUUUACUGGGCGUAAAGGGUGCGUAGGCGGAUGUUUAAGUGGGAUGUGAAAUCCCCGGGCUUAACCUGGGGGCUGCAUUCCAAACUGGAUAUCUAGAGUGCAGGAGAGGAAAGCGGAAUUCCUAGUGUAGCGGUGAAAUGCGUAGAGAUUAGGAAGAACACCAGUGGCGAAGGCGGCUUUCUGGACUGUAACUGACGCUGAGGCACGAAAGCGUGGGUAGCAAACAGGAUUAGAUACCCUGGUAGUCCACGCCGUAAACGAUGGAUACUAGGUGUAGGGGGUAUCAACUCCCCCUGUGCCGCAGUUAACACAAUAAGUAUCCCGCCUGGGGAGUACGGUCGCAAGAUUAAAACUCAAAGGAAUUGACGGGGGCCCGCACAAGCAGCGGAGCAUGUGGUUUAAUUCGAAGCAACGCGAAGAACCUUACCUGGACUUGACAUCCCUUGCAUAGCCUAGAGAUAGGUGAAGCCCUUCGGGGCAAGGAGACAGGUGGUGCAUGGUUGUCGUCAGCUCGUGUCGUGAGAUGUUAGGUUAAGUCCUGCAACGAGCGCAACCCUUGUUAUUAGUUGCUACCAUUAAGUUGAGCACUCUAAUGAGACUGCCUGGGUAACCAGGAGGAAGGUGGGGAUGACGUCAAAUCAUCAUGCCCCUUAUGUCCAGGGCUACACACGUGCUACAAUGGUAGGUACAAUAAGACGCAAGACCGUGAGGUGGAGCAAAACUUAUAAAACCUAUCUCAGUUCGGAUUGUAGGCUGCAACUCGCCUACAUGAAGCUGGAGUUGCUAGUAAUCGCGAAUCAGAAUGUCGCGGUGAAUACGUUCCCGGGCCUUGUACACACCGCCCGUCACACCAUGAGAGCUGGUAACACCCGAAGUCCGUGAGGUAACCGUAAGGAACCAGCGGCCGAAGGUGGGAUUAGUGAUUGGGGUGAAGUCGUAACAAGGUAGCCGUAGGAGAACCUGCGGCUG